CCAAUAGCGUAUAUUAAAGUUGUUGCAGUUAAAAAGCUCGUAGUUGAAUUUCGGAGUUUGUCGGUUGGUCGGGCUUCACUGUUCGCACUGGCCUGAUAGAUUCCUACCUUCUGAAUAACCAGCAUGCUAUUAAGUUAGUGCGUUGGGGAAGCAGAGCUAUUACCUUGAAAAAAUUAGAGUGCUUAAAGCAGGCUUAUGCUUGAAUAGAUUAGCAUGGAAUAAUAAAAUAGGACGGCAUGGUUCUAUUUUGUUGGUUUCUAGGAUCACCGUAAUGAUUAAUAGGGAUAGUUGGGGGCAUUAGUAUUCAAUUGUCAGAGGUGAAAUUCUUGGAUUUAUUGAAGACUAACUUCUGCGAAAGCAUUUGCCAAGGAUGUUUUCAUUAAUCAAGAACGAAAGUUAGGGGAUCGAAGACGAUCAGAUACCGUCGUAGUCUUAACCAUAAACUAUGCCGACUAGGGAUCGGACGAUGUUAAUUUUUUAAUGGCUCGUUCGGCGCCUUACG
rnacentral:rRNA from 1 species